AGGGAGCUUGCUCCUGGGUGACGAGCGGCGGACGGGUGAGUAAUGUCUGGGAAACUGCCCGAUGGAGGGGGAUAACUACUGGAAACGGUAGCUAAUACCGCAUAACGUCUUCGGACCAAAGUGGGGGACCUUCGGGCCUCACACCAUCGGAUGUGCCCAGAUGGGAUUAGCUAGUAGGUGAGGUAAUGGCUCACCUAGGCGACGAUCCCUAGCUGGUCUGAGAGGAUGACCAGCCACACUGGAACUGAGACACGGUCCAGACUCCUACGGGAGGCAGCAGUGGGGAAUAUUGCACAAUGGGCGCAAGCCUGAUGCAGCCAUGCCGCGUGUGUGAAGAAGGCCUUCGGGUUGUAAAGCACUUUCAGCGAGGAGGAAGGGUUCAGUGUUAAUAGCACUGAACAUUGACGUUACUCGCAGAAGAAGCACCGGCUAACUCCGUGCCAGCAGCCGCGGUAAUACGGAGGGUGCAAGCGUUAAUCGGAAUUACUGGGCGUAAAGCGCACGCAGGCGGUUUGUUAAGUCAGAUGUGAAAUCCCCGAGCUUAACUUGGGAACUGCAUUUGAAACUGGCAAGCUAGAGUCUUGUAGAGGGGGGUAGAAUUCCAGGUGUAGCGGUGAAAUGCGUAGAGAUCUGGAGGAAUACCGGUGGCGAAGGCGGCCCCCUGGACAAAGACUGACGCUCAGGUGCGAAAGCGUGGGGAGCAAACAGGA
rnacentral:rRNA from 1 species